AUAAAAGUUGUACCUUGUGCUGAAAAUGGAAUGGGACCAACAGGGGCAGUUUAACCUGCCAGUUUUGCUACUCCAUCACACUUUGGAGUAGAGCUGGACACCAUUUGCUGUGUCAUUUUUGUUCAUCUCACCUUCCUUUCCAUUCUAGUCAGUUCCCUGCAUCACCUUCUUCUUCCGUGAGCUUUAUCUGGUUUUUUUGGCAUGUCGUUACAGAUGAUUUUCAGCCUUGAUUUUUCUGGUUUGUAGACUUUGCAAACAGUCUCUCUACCUCCCAAGGUCUACGUACACUCCACCUUCCUCAGACCUCACUUUGUGAGAUUUCGCUGGAUUUGCAGAGAUAUGUGGAUCGAAAAUGCUGUGGACUGGUUUUGUCCUGUAGUUGGAUCAGGUUGUUUGACGAGUUUCUUUGGUGAAAGGAAGACCUGUUUGUCGUGAAGAGAAUGGAGCUCAAGAAAAAGAGGGAAUCUAUUAUCAAAAUAUCACUGCUAGGCUAAAGCAAUUCAAUUGUCGGCUCAGCCCUCAUGACUGACCCUAUUCAUGAAACUUCACUUCACGAGGAAGGCUACAACCACGGCUGCCCUGCAAAUAUUCAAAUACACUGAGCUUUCUGAUAGCAUUUUUCAUUACAUUCAACACUCAUAAAAGUCUUAUGCAAUUAGGGGAAGGAAGUUCUUGAAAACGUAUUUUUUGGUGGAGAUGCAGCAAUAACCUCCUCAAAACUUAUGCUAGACAUUGAAGGCUGAAGUCGACGAAAGUCAAGUAUGUUUUUGUUGUCAAAACAACAAUAAGGUUGUUUAGAAGGAAGUGACAAGAAAAAAGGCCGAAGAAGAAUUUCCAAAAUCAAUUGUAGCAAUCUUAUUUCUUCGUCAUUUGGAUUAUAUACCCCAAAUCUGGAAUUAAUUGAAUUGUCUAUUACUUUCA